UAAGAGGAUCAGGCUUUUAAAUACUCAUUUACAAGUUUUCUAUCCUCCUUCAGUGUUAAAGUAGAAAGUAAAAAGAGUAUCUUAUACAUGCAUGAAAUUAAAGCAUAUACCAAAUGCAUUUUUGAUGAAGUAAUUAUUAUUUUAUUAGUACUUGAGCAGCCUGUUAAAACUAGUGAUGUACUAUACCUUUCAUAGGCACAUUAUGUCUCACAGCGAAGUGUUUUGGG
rnacentral:lncRNA from 1 species